rnacentral:snRNA from 1 species
GUGCUCGCUUCGGCAGCACAUAUACUAAAAAAUUGGAACGAUAGAGAGAUUAGCAUGGCCCCUGCGCAAGGAUGAUACGCAAAUUCAUGAAGCAUUCCAUAUUUUU